ACACACACUGGGGCCUUUUGUAGAGGGGAGGGGAGGGACAGCAUGAGGAUAAACAGCUAAUGCACGCCGGGCUUAAUGCCUAGGUGAUGGGUUGAUAGGUGCAGGAAACCACCAUGGCACACAUUUACCUAUGUAACAAACCUGCACGUCCUUCACAUGUAUCCCAGAACUCAAAAUAAUAAAAAUAAAAAAAAAAUAAAAAGCAUGUUGUCAUAAAAAGAAAUUUUGGAAGGAUGUACAUCAGCGUUUCGAGUUUCAUUGGGUAAUGGAGUAACUGGGUUUUCUUAAAAAAAUCUUGCCUCUAUAUUCCAGUAUUCUAGAAAGAGUUUUUUUUUUUUAAAUUUUGUGAUCAGAAAAAUAACCACAAUAACUGCUACAUAUAUGUUUUAAAGGCUAUGAAUGUAAGGAGAUGGGGGGAUAUGUAGAGAAUGACACAGGCUUAUAAGAUUUUCUUUUCAGUAACAUGGGAAGAACCUGAAGCUGAUGGUAAGGGUACAUGGAGAGAGGGUGGCUCUCCAGGAGCAGAAAGGG